UAAUAAAAUAACUAAAAAAAAGAAAAGAAAAAAAAAAUACUAAGAAAUGGUCGAACUGUAUGUAACAAGGUGGAGAAAUGGUGCUGGGCCCACACUAUGUUGCGGGAAAAACAAAACCAAGAAGUUCCAAAAAUUAUAAUUAGAGUCAAAAUUAAAUUUUUUGAACUCUAGUGUUCUAAUAUUCCGAUACUUUGAACUCUAAUAUUCCGAAGCAAACUGCCUGAGCUGAACACUCUCCCCCCUCAGUUUCUUACUAGUGCGCAUUAGAGUUCAAAAUAUUUAAUUUUGAAUCUAAUUAUAAUUUUUGGAACUUCUUGGCCUUGUUUUCUCCGCGAAAUGGUGUGGACCCAGCACCAUUUUUCCACCUUGUUAAUGUAACUAACCAACUAAAAUACAUGCAUGUUUAACUUAAACAGACUUUCAACACAGAUGUCGUGAUUUUUGAACCAUUUUGCAAAUAUCAUGCCCUGAUCAUUUUCAAUUUAAAUGCAAGCAGUAAUUCUGAUUCCACUUUAAUCUUUAGGUAGUGACUGCCACGCUAUUGCAGCGCAUUUAAUUACGACCCCAAGAGGCAGUCGCUUGCUCUCGAAUGGUUGAAAGAGGCGUACGCGAGGUUUCAUGAAAAAAAUGAAACGGAGCGUUACAAGAAAUCACUCCUGCUGGAUCUAGCAUUACUCUCUCUGAAACAGGUCACACCAGAGAGGCGGUCGACUUUGCUGAAAAUUUCACGAGAACAAAUAUGGAAAACGAAUAUAUCUACGUCGAUAUGCACAGAUAUCUUACAGCUAGACUCGAAAAUCGGCCAGUGAGGACUUAAAGGAGUACACAACUCCCGAUGAUACCACUCUUGACCUUCCUCUUUUCCCCGAUAUCCGCCGUUGGCUUUUGGCUGAUGUUUGCAAGGGGAAUUCAAGGCUGCCCCCGAGCUAUUUGGCCAAGUUGAAAUGCCGCUACACAAUGAACGACUCACCUUUAUUCGUUUUGUCACCGCUGAAGGAGGAAGAGCUCUACUUGGACCCCAAAGUGUCCAUCUACCGCAAAUUUUUAACCGACGGCGAGGUUGACAGCCUGAUAGACUCAGCAUAUGGCCGAGUAAGUUUAUUAAACAAACUCUUAAAAUAAAACAAGAAGAUAUUCCAUCAACUUUUUAAAAUACUCAAACUACUCUAAAAUUAGGACACUAUUUUCUUCU
rnacentral:lncRNA from 1 species